GCAAGAUUUUAUUGUAGUUCUUCGAUUGAUUGAUUGAUUUUUGCGCUUAGAGGGGUAGCAUCCGUGUAUCUGAAAUAGAAUUCAAGAGUAGAGACAGGCACCUGUAUUAGUUUUCUCCUGCUGCCUAUGAUCACAUGACCACAAACCAGUGGUUUGAAGCCACAGAAGUCUGGAAUGAAGCGGCUGGGUUUUCUGAUCAGGGUCAUGUGAAGCUGCAAUCUGGGAAUGGGCUGGCUGUGGGUUUUCUCUAGAGCUCAGGCUAUUUUUCUGAGUUCACUAGACAUAUUGAAAGAGUUUCUAUUCUUGGUGGGGGAUUGAGGGCUCUUUUUCUGUGCUGGCUGUCAACCAGGAGACACUCUGACUUCAGAGGCCACCUGCUUUGCUCCUUACCUCUCUUUCCCAUCUUUCAACCAAUAACAACUCAUGGAGUCCUUCUCAAGCUCUGCCUUCCCUUCUCUGACUUCAUCUCCAACCAGCCAUGGAAAGCUCUGUCACUAUGAAGUGAUGUGAUUCGAUCCAGUUCAUGCAGAGCCUGAGCUGAGUCCACACCCUGGAAGCCCAGAACCGAGGGAACAGAUGGAAGAAAGAAAGGCAGCAGGUUUUGGGAAAGAGAAGAACCUGCAAAGGACAAGUCAGCGCUAGAACAGAAAUUGGGUUGGUAACAUUGAAGAGACGCUUCUCACCUGCCUGAAAUGGCCUACGUUAUCUUCAAGUUGCAAGGGCUCAGGAACAGCCCUUGCAGUGCUCCUGUAAAGAGAGGAAGAAAAUAACAGGGAUCUUCAUGGAGAAAUGACCCACAGGAGGGCCUGGACUCUCCAGCAGAUACAGCAGCAGAAAGUUUCUGAAGAAGAAUGGAGGAGCUGAGAGCCCAGGCCGGGAAAGCAGGGUUGUGUGAAACACUAUUUAAUCCUAUGUGCUCACUGCCCCAAUCUAGCAGCCAGUGAAUGACAACUGACCAAGUAUAAAGGCCAGGACUAUAAAACUGUGAUAAAGCGUUUGUCCAAGGAAAGGGGCUUUUCCCGUUUUUGUUUUCACAGUGGAAAUUACUAUUUUUCAUCUAAAGUUUUCCUAAUGGCAGCAGCGAGCUUCUAGAGGGUGAGUUACCUGCUCUGCACAGGGAGGCUGAGACCAAGACUUGUGUGGUGGAUCUGCUGCCACCAAGUGGUGAGGGAGGGAUCCUGGGAGAGAGUGUUUCUGGGCUUCAGUGUUUCCUCAUCAGUAAAGUAGAGGCUUAUUGUGCCUCUCUGAGGUCCCUUCCUGCUCUGUUUUCUCUGAGCUUCUGAGGAAUUGAGAUGCUUUUCAAUACUGCCUGGGAGCUUCAGCUGAGACCUGACUGUGUGUCUCCUGCAGGAGCCUUAGCUGAGUACACACUGGAAUCCCAGAGCUGGGGGAACAGGUGGAAGAAAGAAAGUCAGCAGUUUUAGGGGAUGAGAAUAAUCCACAAAGGUGAAGCCAUUGGACAUCACUGCCAACUUCAGGGAAGCGGGAACACAGCUGCCCGCUUUACAAUAUGGGCUGCUUUUGUGCCUGGAAUGUGUGUGAUGUCCUGAGACCUGUACCUAUUUCACGGAGCCUUGGGAGGAGCCUGAAUCACUGAUGGAAUUGGACGGUGCAUGGAGAUGGUUGAGCAGGA